CCUGUCCAAAUUGUCAAGUUCAGAGGGAGGCUAGGCGGGAGGCUAGUUUUGGCUUCAGGCCGCUAUUUAUAUGUUAGGAAUUUUUUAGAAUGAGUCAACAUUAAUGUAUUACUGAAUAAACUUAAGGUGCUUCAGCCUUUUAUGGAAGCUCCACCAAGAACUCUCCCUGAUCCUACCCUUCUUGCACCUCCCAGAGCUGGGAGCUGCUUCCCGAUCCCAGCCACUCUCGGAAAGUGGCAGAAGUUAGCCAGCCCUCAGCUGGACAGCGUUGGAUCACAGACACUAGCUGAGCAGUUUCCAGAGCUCAAAAGUGGGGAUGACGAAUGUCCGGGUCACAGGCUAGUUUGAAGCCAGUGGCAGCAAGAAACAGACUAGGCACCAAGAGGAACUUCUGAAGUGUGGCAGGCGAGGGGAGUCCAGCAGCGCAGGGAAAGUGUUCUCUCUCCACCAGAGGCGAAGAUGGCACAGAGAACAUCUGGUCCCCAGAGGUGCUUGCUACAUUUUGAGCCACAGCCCAACGGGAGCAAGAGAAGGCAGAAGUUGUAUUUUUCCAGCUCAAGUUUGGUGUGCUUAGCAAGAGGCCCCAAAAAUUUACAACCUGCCGGCAAGCAGCGGUUUGAUUCUCCGACCCAGCAGGUUCCUGCUCGACAGCGUUGGGACCAGGAGCGGCUGAUGAGAAAUAAAUGAGGCAGGUGCCCAAGCGGCUUCUUUGCCAAUAAAAGAAAACAACAGUC